rnacentral:lncRNA from 9 species
AGCCAAAGCAAUGCCGGAUCUUUUGACACAUUUAGCUCAUGAAGGACUCUCUGCAAUGUCUUUAUUGUUUUAUAUUCCUACUGGAUUUGUGAAGAUUUCAUUACAUAGUAGUACCGGUGUGCAGAUUGGCUUUUAAAAACUGCUCAUGUGGCCCAAUAUUUGGCAUGGGUAAGGAUGUACUAAUCGAAUGCCGGGGGGAGGGUCUUCUCUGAUAGAUGAACCAGGCACCCUUUUUUUGGCCACAGGGAUAAAUUCCAAGGAGAAGAUGAAUGUCUCAAGAAGAGGAUCAUGGUCCCCUAAUUAUUUAUGGAAUAAGAGAGAGGGUUGGUAUGACAGAUUCCUCUUUUUUUUUAAUUGUUGUUUUGUUUUAGGAAGAAAUGAAAGAGACCAUUUGGGUUCCAUGCUGGAUGAGACUUCAAACAAUCAGCAAUGCCCUCUAAGCUCCACCUCCACCACUACCUCAGGUAGGAGGAGCCACCAAUCAGGAGCUGCCAAUACUUAAAUGAGAUUAUCAGGCGUUAACAACCAAGGUAUAAAUUGGGCUGUUUCUUGCCCUUCCCCACAACUGCUUUGGGAUCCAUCAUUCGACGGUCUGGUGAGUAAGUUGGCUCUUUUCUUUUCACAUUUUGGCUUACAAAAUUGUGCUGCUGUUUUUUUUUAUUUUCUUUUUAUCCUUUUGGUCUGAAGUCAAGUCCAUUCUGUAGUUUCAGUAAAAAUUCAGAAGGGAACAAGAGUAAAUGUCUGUUUUGCUCACUGUCUUUAUCCAGAACUCAGAAGUGUCUUUUUUUUUUUCU